rnacentral:rRNA from 1 species
GGAUUAGAUACCCUGGUAGUCCACGCCCUAAACGAUGAAAACUUGCAGUUGGAUAUAUAGAUAUAUUUAGUUGCGUAGCUAACGCGUUAAGUUUUCCGCCUGGGGAGUACGAUCGCAAGAUUAAAACUCAAAGGAAUUGACGGGGGCCCGCACAAGCGGUGGAGCAUGUGGUUUAAUUCGAUGGUACACGAAGAACCUUACCCACUUUUGAUCUCUAAAGCUUAGUAGAGAUACUUUGGUGCCUUUAAUUAAGGAAUUAGAUGACAGGUGCUGCAUGGCUGUCGUCAGCUCGUGCUG